GGCUCCGGAAACACCCGAGCGGCUCCGAGCGCUUCCAAAGCGCCCGAGCGGUUCCGAACCGACCCGAACCGAACCGGGGGGGCCCGAACGGCUCCGAACCGACCCGAAAGGAGCCGAACCGAGUGGGGGGGGACACGAACGGAGCCGAACCGAACCGGGGGGGACCCGAACCGAACCGGGGGGGACCCGAACGGAACCGAACCGAGGCGGGAGGAGCCGAAGGGACCCAGGCAUGGCCACCCCCACCGAGCCGGCCAUGGGAGAGGCAGCGCGGGCGCGGGAACCGUUCCACUACGAUUACGAGUCGCUGCGGCUGGCGGGGCUGAUCCUGAGCAUCGUCAUGUUCGUGCUGGGCGUGCUCAUCGCCCUCAGUAAGAAAUUCAAGUGCAAAAAGGCCGAGCCCAGCGCCCCCGAGACGGCGAAAAAACCCGCUCCCGCGGCCUCGGCGUAGCCACGCCCCCAACGAGGCCACGCCCCCAACGAGGCCACGCCCCCGACGAGGCCACGCCCCCUUGGGGUUCAAGCCCCACCCCCAGUGCAUGAAAAAAAAUCCAAAAAAUUUUUUUGGGGGAAUUUGGGGGAUUCCCCUCACCCUGCACGGAGCCAAGGACACCCAAAAAUACCCAAAAAAUCCCAAAAAUUCCCCAAAAAUCCCAAAUAUCCCAAAAAAUCCCAAAAAAUCCCAAAA